AAGACUAGACUUUUAGGAACCAUUUCUACAUAGUUUCUUACUGGAGAAAUUUCUCUGAACGUACGGAACACCGGAAACCAGGAGGAGGAGGCGUGGCGUUCCCUCCUAAGUGCGAAGCGGGCUCUUGGUGUUGCUUCUGCAACUAUCAUUUGCCAUUGGUGACUGUUCUUCUCUUCCCUUGGGAGAGUAAGAGGGAGGGAUGCUGUCUGAGUGGU
rnacentral:snoRNA from 13 species